rnacentral:misc_RNA from 1 species
UCUCCGUUGGUGGACCAGCGGAGGGAUCAUUACCGAGUUUACAACUCCCAAACCCCUGUGAACAUACCUAUCGUUGCCUCGGCGGUGCCCGCUCCGGCGGCCCGCCAGAGGACCCCCAAACUCUUGUUUUAUACAGUAUCUUCUGAGUAACACGAUCAAAUAAAUCAAAACUUUCAACAACGGAUCUCUUGGUUCUG